rnacentral:lncRNA from 1 species
CCGGAACCUCGUCCCCAACUUCGACCGUUGGUAAGUUCCGUCCGGGAGCCAGAUUUUGCCUCUGACUUCAAUCGCAGGUAAAUUCUGUCCGGACUCCCACGGGAGUCGGACUUCGCUCCGACUUUGCUCACGGGAGCCGAACUCUCGUAGCCCCACCAAGAGCGGAGGAAAAAUUCCAAAUGAAAAAGAAAAAGGAGGAGGGGCUAAAAAGGA